GUUUGUUACGGCUUGAGCUGAGCUUUCGCUCGCUGUCCACCACUGCUGUUUUGCCACCAUGGCAGACCCACCACUGACCUCCAUCCCUCCGCAUCCAGCAGGGUGUCCGCUGUGCUCCUGAUCCAGUGAGGCGCCCGUUGCCACUCCCGAUUGGGCUAAGGGCUUGCCAAUGUUCCUGCAUGGCUAAGUGCCUGGGUUCGUCCUAAUCGAGCUGAACACUAGUCACUGGGUUCCAUGGUUCUCUUCCAUGACCCACAACUUCUAAUAGAGCUAUAACAAGCACUGCAUGGCCCAAGAUUCCAUUCCUUGGAAUCCGUGAGGCCAAGAACCCCAGGUCAGAGAACACGAGGCUUGCCACCAUCUUGGAAGUGGCCCACCGCCAUUUUGGAAGUGGCCAACCACCAUCUUGGGAGCUCUGGGAGCAAGGACCCCUGGUAACAUUUUGGCGACCACGAAGGGACAUCCCAAGUGAUCCAUGCAAGGCUGGACUUAAAUGCUUCUGGGCAGAAAUCCGGAACAAUAAGGAGGCUCAUAUUGUCAACUUUUCUACUCUCAUCGUUCCUGUUACACAAUGUCUGAAAGAAAACAUUUCAAACAUUACAUCAAGUUCUUCAUUUGUUUCUUCUCUGCCUUGUGAAGAAGGACUUGCCUGCUUCCCUUUCCACCAUGGUUGUAAGUUUCCCGAGGCCUUCCCAGCCAUGCAGAACUGUGAGUCAAUUAAACCUUUUUCCUUUAUAAAUUACCCAAUUUCAGGUAUGUCUUCAUAGAUGCCUGAGCAGGAACUAUUAGGUUGAUGCAAAGGUAAUUGCACAUUUUGACAUUUUUUAAAGUAAUGGCAAAACCCUCAAUUACUUCUGCACUAACUAAAUAAUAUGUAUACUAUCCGGACUUCUUGGUUUUUCAGAACUUUCUCUGUUGUAAACACUCCAGUGAUAGUAUAAUCUCAUUGCUAUUUUACUUUUAGAAGUUUAUUUGCCAAAAUCCAUACACAAAAGAAGAAGAUAGAAAUGAUUAGUGCUGAAUUGGUUUACAGUUAUAUCAGAGGAAAUCAUAAUAUAAGUGAAGAUCUCAUAAGGAUAGAAUCAUAUCAAUAAUGUUUAUAUCUUCCGUGAAUUAUUAUGGAGUUU
rnacentral:lncRNA from 1 species